rnacentral:rRNA from 1 species
UACGAACCGUACAAACGUUAUUCGGAAUCACUGGGCUUAAAGGGUGCGUAGGCGGCCAUGUAAGUGAGGUGUGAAAUCCCUCGGCUCAACCGAGGAACUGCGCUUCAUACUGCAUGGCUUGAGGGAGACAGGGGUAAGCGGAACUGAUGGUGGAGCGGUGAAAUGCGUAGAUAUCUGGAGGAACACCGGUGGCGAAGGCGGCAUCCUGGACCGGUAUUGACGCUGAGGCGCGAAAGCUAGGGGAGCAAACGGG